ensembl:lncRNA
CAUUAAGCAUUGUGUGUGGGAUCCAUAACCAUUUCCUAUCUGUACGUCAUGAAGAUAAGCAUAUGGUUUUCUUUUAAAAAAUAUUUUCAUCAUCUAGGCUAAAUAUUUAUUAGAAGCCACUUUUAUGACUCUUUACCAACUAAAUAUUUAACAUGAUUCAUGUGUUAUUUGACAAUAUGGAAGCAAAGAAUCUGGCCAGUUCUACAUUUUGCUUUGCAAAAGUAUUUUAAUUAACCUACCUCUGCAUUUAAAGCAGCAUCUCUAGCAUUCAACAGGGCGUGAAAUUCAAUAAGUGAAAACUACAUUUUGGGAAAGUACCACCUUGGGGAGAAGAUGUUGUAGUCUUCCAAUUUUUGAGUGGCCCAUACUGUCAAUUGAAUUAACUUUCAGUUGUCUAUUCAAAAUUAAUUCAAUCUGAUCAAGAACUGAAAUCCCGACAAAAUGCUGACAUCUGCAGAAGCUGAAGACGUGGCUGUUUCUGUCAAUACCGCUUUCUAUAUUUAGAACUAGACCGUGACAUCAGCAGCCCUCAACAAUUUGUUUUCCGUUAUAUUUUUGGUCUCCAAACAUGUUCGUGUAACAUGUGUGCUGAACUUUCAGCCCCGAGAAGAGAGUCCCAACCAUUCACUACAUCCAUGUGUCUAUGAUUACUUCUGAGCACAACACAGCUUUCAAAUGAAAGGGGAAAAUAAGAACGUAAAAAGUUUGUUUCUCCAUCCUCCGAUGUCAUUUCUAAGUAUACACGGACGCAUUAAUAUCAAAUUCACAAAGCAGGACACAAAAAUUAUAUGUAGGCUAUGAUUACAACUACGUAAAAAAUGCAUAUGAAAAACAGGGGGAGGGAUAGGAAUUCACUAGAAUUGUAAUAGUGGUCAUGUUAGGCUUCAGAGACAGGUGUUUUGCUUGCCCUAGUCUUGACUAUCCAUGUGUUCUACAGUGUGGUUAUACUGCUGUAAUUCAAAGAUCUGCUCCCUUGCCUUCUUCACUGAAGUCUCCAAAAGAGUUUACUCAAGGAGUUCCCUUGCGGCCCAUCAGGUUAAGGACCCAACAUAGGUGAGCAUGCAGGUUUGAUCGCCUCACUCAGUGGGUGGAGGAUCUGGCAUUGCCACAGGCUGCGGCGCAGGUCACAGAUGCGGCUUGGAUCCAGGCUUGCUGUGGCUGUAGUAUAAGCCUCAGCGGCAGCUCCAGUUCAGCCCCUGGUGUGGAACGUUCCAUAUGCUGCAGGUGCAGCCCUAAAAAGAAUGAGAGAAAAAAAAAAAAAAAGCACAAGUGAGCUCAUACUGAUCUAGAAAUCUCUCAAAAUAUAUUUUUUUCAAUCAGGAUAUUAAACAGUCUUUAAGUUGUUUUUCAGAAGGGGAAGUGCAAGCUAUCUAUUCAACAAAAUAUCCCAAAAUAAAAACAAAAAGCCAGCCUGUGGAGGAGCACAGUUGGUCCAACAAUGAAAUCUCUGGGACUUUAUCAGCAUUCAGACGGAAAAGAGGGAAGCAGGCCGGAGAGGUUCUGCUAACCUUUCUGGCCCAAGUACUUUGGCCGUGUGACCUCCUUUCAGGGGAUGGUAUUAGUGGUAUAAGUGGCUGGUGUGACCACCACACCGGGUAGUCACCAGAGCGAUCUGAUCCCACCUCUGCAACCUGCCCUCAGGUCUCCCUCUCGUGACCCCCAUAAGGCAGCCCCAAGGCUAGGACGGGAGUCUGCUGAGUUCUGCCAUAUUGUGGACUUUUCACGCUUUGGCCCCAUGUAUCGCUUUUCCUUGGGGAGAAGCCAGAUGGACCUGAUGUCUCUGGUGAGUUACCAUCAAACAUGACCUGUGUUCCUUAGUUUCUUUCAUUAGAUCCCUUUGAGAUGCUGAAACAUCAACCCUACGCUUUAACAAAUAGCACCUGGACUUUCUCAUCUUGUUUCUUUGUGAAGCAAUCGCAAAACACUUUCGUAAAAAAGAUUUAUGACAACCCUCCUAUUUUUUUUUUCCAUUUUAUACGUCUGCUAAAUUCCAUUUUUUAAGCAUUGCAGAGAAAGCCACUGGUGGAAUUGCAGUGUCUAGCAACGUUAACUUCUCCGUAAAAAUAAGGCCACUCAAAUCUUGUUAAACUGAUAUUGUCUUCAUUGUGCCUCUUAAUGCCCACGUUCAUUCCAGAGGACUUAUAAAAUGAAAUCAUCAAAAAGUUCCCAGCUGCACAAGUCUUUUGAAAUUUUUCUGUCGUAACAGAGUCUGCGUUACACAUUACAAAAACACGCAAGGGGGCUUAAAGAUAGUUUAACAAAAAGACUAGAAAGGGAGAAUAUCCAGGUGGCUUUUUAAGUGUGGAACAUAAUAAAACAGUGUUUGGAAAGUGUUAUGCCAAAAUGUAAUAACUAGAAAACAAGAAAGUCCAUUUAUAAGCUGAAGUGUAACUUUCGGUCAUAAGUAGAAGAAAUGUUGAGAAUGCAACGGGGAAAAAAUAACCUGAGCAUUUAAUAAAUGUGUAACAAAUAGACUAAAGACCUUCAGCUAUGGAAGAGCAGUAUGACAGUGUAUUUAGGGCCAAUCCUUCUGAAACUCUGGCCUAACUUAUACUGUUCUCAGUCAGGGCCUUCUCAAGGAAGAAAAAUCACUUGGAUAUAUAAAACAGAGGCCUUGGAAGUUCCCGUUGUGGCUCGGUGGAAACAAACCUCACUCAUAUCCUUGAGGAUGCUGAUUUGGUUCCUGGCCUCGCUCAGUGGGUUAAGGAUCCAGCGCUGCCGUGAGCUAUGGCAUAAGGCGCGGACCCAGCUCUGAUCUGGCAUUACUGUUGCUGUGGUGUAGGCCGGCAGCUGCAGCUCCAAUUUGACCCCUAGCCUGGGAACUUCCAUAUGCCGCAAGUGCAGCCCUAAGAAAAGCAAAAAAAAAAAAAAAAAAAAAAAA